UGGGGAAUUUUGGACAAUGGGCGAAAGCCUGAUCCAGCCAUGCCGCGUGUGUGAAGAAGGUCUUCGGAUUGUAAAGCACUUUAAGUUGGGAGGAAGGGUUGUAGAUUAAUACUCUGCAAUUUUGACGUUACCGACAGAAUAAGCACCGGCUAACUCUGUGCCAGCAGCCGCGGUAAUACAGAGGGUGCAAGCGUUAAUCGGAAUUACUGGGCGUAAAGCGCGCGUAGGUGGUUUGUUAAGUUGGAUGUGAAAUCCCCGGGCUCAACCUGGGAACUGCAUCCAAAACUGGCAAGCUAGAGUAUGGUAGAGGGUGGUGGAAUUUCCUGUGUAGCGGUGAAAUGCGUAGAUAUAGGAAGGAACACCAGUGGCGAAGGCGACCACCUGGACUGAUACUGACACUGAGGUGCGAAAGCGUGGGGAGCAAACAGGAUUAGAUACCCCUGUAGUCCCUGAGCGGGCUGGCAAGGCGCAU
rnacentral:rRNA from 1 species